GGUGGUGGUCGAAUGGGUUAGGGCGUUUGAUUACCACCUCAGAGGUCCGAGGUCCGAAUCCUCGCCACCACCG
rnacentral:tRNA from 1 species